rnacentral:rRNA from 1 species
UACGGGGGGGGCAAGCGUUGUUCGGAAUUAUUGGGCGUAAAGGGCGCGUAGGCGGUGCGGCAAGUCUCCUGUGAAAUCUCCGGGCUUAACUCGGAGCCUGCAGGAGAAACUGCCGUGCUUGAGUGUGGGAGAGGUGAGUGGAAUUCCCGGUGUAGCGGUGAAGUGCGUAGAUAUCGGGAGGAACACCUGUGGCGAAAGCGGCUCACUGGACCACAACUGACGCUGAGGCGCGAAAGCCAGGGGAGCAAACGGG